CAGCAGCCGCGGUAAAACGGAGGAUCCAAGCGUUAUCCGGAAUCAUUGGGUUUAAAGGGUCCGUAGGCGGUCUUGUAAGUCAGUGGUGAAAGCCCAUCGCUCAACGGUGGAACGGCCAUUGAUACUGCAGGACUUGAAUUAUUGGGAAGUAACUAGAAUAUGUAGUGUAGCGGUGAAAUGCUUAGAGAUUACAUGGAAUACCAAUUGCGAAGGCAGGUUACUACCAAUUGAUUGACGCUGAUGGACGAAAGCGUGGGUAGCGAACAGGAUUAGAUACCCCAGUAGUCCCUGUCUCUUAUAC
rnacentral:rRNA from 1 species